CACAGAUCUUUUUUGAUAAGC
rnacentral:miRNA from 1 species